rnacentral:miRNA from 1 species
AGAGGGCGCUUGAUUGCCAUUUUAUUAGGUUGGUGCAAAAGCAAUUGCGGUUUUUGCCAUUAAAUUACUUUUGCAUCAACCUAAUACAUCACUUUCCUGCUGGCCAGUCUUUUCUACCUC